GCUUGUAGUCAAACAGAAGGCAGAGCUGCGAAUCAAAUCCAGGUUUGUCUCGACAUGCCACUAGCUCAUAUUUCUCUUGGAUCAGCCAUAAAUGGCUUUCACUCCAGUGAGCAGCGAACAGCACCAGAAUUAUAGAACAUUUAUCAACAGCCUAAAAUAUAGAUAACACUAGGAGAAUUUGGUUGCUUAUAUAGAUUCAAGAUACAAUCCUGCUGGAUUCUGGGAUUACAGGACUGUAAACAAAAGAGAAAUCAUCAUGGACUGUUCACUGGGCAAAAUUUCAUGGAGACCUUUGGGGGUUCAUGGAUGUUCUAUAAUAAGUGAGCAGGGAAAAUCAAUACCCAGAGAAGGGGAGAGACGUCCAUGGAACACAGGAGAGGACAGAGCCAAGAAUGAAUAUAGGUCACCAGUGCCCCAACUCUUAACCGCUACCAUACACGGUUUUAUAAAGUAAAUUUUAAAAGUCGACUUUAAAACA
rnacentral:lncRNA from 1 species